rnacentral:rRNA from 1 species
UUAAGUGACGAUAGCCUAGGAGAUACACCUGUACCCAUGCCGAACACAGUAGUUAAGCCCUAGAACGCCUGAAGUAGUUGGGGGUUGCCCC